rnacentral:rRNA from 1 species
CAGUAGCCGCGGUAAUACGAAGGGUGCAAGCGUUAAUCGGAAUUACUGGGUGUAAAGCGUGCGUAGGCGGUGAGUUAAGUCUGCUGUGAAAUCCCCGGGCUCAACCUGGGAAUGGCAGUGGAUACUGGCUCGCUAGAGUGUGUCAGAGGAUGGUGGAAUUCCCGGUGUAGCGGUGAAAUGCGCAGAGAUCGGGAGGAACAUCAGUGGCGAAGGCGGCCAUCUGGGACAACACUGACGCUGAGGUGCGAAAGCGUGGGGAGCAAACAGGAUUAGAUACCCCGGUAGUCCCUGUCUCUUAUAA